UGAGGAAGUAAAAGUCGUAACAAGGUCUCCGUAGGUGAACCUGCGGAGGGAUCAUUACCGAGUGAGGGCUUCGGCCCGACCUCCAACCCCAUGUGAACCAACUUGUUGCCUCGGGGGCGACCCUGCCGUUCGCGGCGCGGCGCCCCCGCGGACCUUCAAACACUGCAUUUUAUACGUCGGAGUCUCAAGUAAAUUGAACAAAACUUUCAACAACGGAUCUCUUGGUACUGGCAUCGAUGAAGAACGCAGCGAAAUGCGAUAAGUAAUGUGAAUUGCAGAAUUCAGUGAAUCAUCGAAUCUUUGAACGCACAUUGCGCCCCCUGGUAUUCCGGGGGGCAUGCCUGUUCGAGCGUCAUUUCACCACUCAAGCCUCGCUUGGUAUUGGGCGUCGCGGGUCUCCGCGCGCCUCAAAGUCUCCGGCUGAGCUGUCCGUCUCCUAGCGUUGUGAUACAUAUUCGCUAUGGGUGUCGGGUGGCCGCGGCCGUUAAACUUUUCAAAGGUUGACCUCGGAUCAGGUAGGGAUACCCGCUGAACUUAAGCAUAUC
rnacentral:rRNA from 1 species